rnacentral:rRNA from 1 species
CACGUAGGGUGCGAGCGUUGUCCGGAUUUAUUGGGCGUAAAGAGCGUGUAGGCGGCCAGAUAGGUCUGCUGUGAAAACUCGAGGCUCAACCUCGAGAUGUCGGCGGAAACCAUUUGGCUAGAGUCCGGAAGAGGAAAGUGGAAUUCCUGGUGUAGCGGUGAAAUGCGCAGAUAUCAGGAAGAACACCCGUGGCGAAGGCGGCUUUCUGGGACGGUACUGACGCUGAGACGCGAAAGCGUGGGGAGCGAACAGG